UCUAAGUUUGAUGGCGACCGGCGCACGGGUGAGUAACACGUAUCCAACCUGCCGAUGACUCGGGGAUAGCCUUUCGAAAGAAAGAUUAAUACCCGAUGGCAUAGUUCUUCCGCAUGGUGAACUAUUAAAGAAUUUCGGUCAUCGAUGGGGAUGCGUUCCAUUAGGUUGUUGGCGGGGUAACGGCCCACCAAGCCUUCGAUGGAUAGGGGUUCUGAGAGGAAGGUCCCCCACAUUGGAACUGAGACACGGUCCAAACUCCUACGGGAGGCAGCAUG
rnacentral:rRNA from 1 species